CCUACGGGAGGCAGCAGUGGGGAAUAUUGGACAAUGGGGGCAACCCUGAUCCAGCCAUGCCGCGUGUGUGAAGAAGGCCCUCGGGUUGUAAAGCACUUUCAGUGAGGAAGAACGCCUGGUGGUUAAUACCCAUCAGGAAAGACAUCACUCACAGAAGAAGCACCGGCUAACUCCGUGCCAGCAGCCGCGGUAAUACGGAGGGUGCGAGCGUUAAUCGGAAUUACUGGGCGUAAAGCGCGCGUAGGUGGCUUGAUAAGCCGGUUGUGAAAGCCCCGGGCUCAACCUGGGAACGGCAUCCGGAACUGUCAAGCUAGAGUGCAGGAGAGGAAGGUAGAAUUCCCGGUGUAGCGGUGAAAUGCGUAGAGAUCGGGAGGAAUACCAGUGGCGAAGGCGGCCUUCUGGACUGACACUGACACUGAGGUGCGAAAGCGUGGGUAGCAAACAGGAUUAGAUACCGAGUAGUC
rnacentral:rRNA from 1 species